GUGGGAGAGGCUUAGUGGUUUGGCGUGAGAUUGCAAAUCUUGAGGUCGUGGGUUCGAUUCCCACCUUCCACU